rnacentral:rRNA from 1 species
UGGGGAAUAUUGCACAAUGGGCGCAAGCCUGAUGCAGCCAUGCCGCGUGUGUGAAGAAGGCCUUCGGGUUGUAAAGCACUUUCAGCGAGGAGGAAGGUGGUGAACUUAAUACGUUCAUCAAUUGACGUUACUCGCAGAAGAAGCACCGGCUAACUCCGUGCCAGCAGCCGCGGUAAUACGGAGGGUGCAAGCGUUAAUCGGAAUUACUGGGCGUAAAGCGCACGCAGGCGGUUUGUUAAGUCAGAUGUGAAAUCCCCGGGCUCAACCUGGGAACUGCAUUUGAAACUGGCAAGCUAGAGUCUCGUAGAGGGGGGUAGAAUUCCAGGUGUAGCGGUGAAAUGCGUAGAGAUCUGGAGGAAUACCGGUGGCGAAGGCGGCCCCCUGGACGAAGACUGACGCUCAGGUGCGAAAA